CGGGGGGAGCAAGCGUUGUUCGGAUUUACUGGGCGUAAAGGGCGCGUAGGCGGCGCAACAAGUCACUUGUGAAAUCUCCGGGCUUAACUCGGAGCGGCCAAGUGAUACUGUCGUGCUAGAGUGCGGAAGGGGCAACUGGAAUUCACGGUGUAGCGGUGAAAUGCGUAGAUAUCGAGAGGAACACCUGUGGCGAAGGCGGGUUGCUGGGCCGACACUGACGCUGAGGCGCGAAAGCCAGGGGAGCGAACGGGAUUAGAUACCCCGGUAGUCCUGGCCUUAAACGAUGGAUGCUUGGUGUCCGAGGUUACAUAGUCCUCGGGUGCCGUCGCUAACGCCUUAAGCAUCCCGCCUGGGGAGUACGGUCGCAAGACUG
rnacentral:rRNA from 1 species